GUUCUUAGUUCGUGGAGUGAUCUGUCUGCUUAAUUGCGUUUCAAAUUUUUAACCGAGGACCGGGUUUUGGUUUGGCUAGUGGUCCUACGAUGACUGUGAACUGUCAUGUCUUCGGAUGUACGACUAUCGGUCUAGGAUCACAUGACUUGCCCCUGGGACUCUUUUGAACGCAACGGACGUGAUUGCAACCCCUUGUUGAGAUUAGAGAUAGUCUCGAUAUUCACUGGCCAAACUGGCUGCUUUAUGCAGUCUUGUUGAAUGGUGGAUAAACUCGGGGGACUGCUGACUAUAACCAUUUCUCAAAACAGAGGAAGGUUGCGGCAAUAACAGGUCUGUGAUGCCCUCAGAUGUCCCGGGCUGCACACGUGCUACAAUGAGUGGCGCAAUGUGCUAAUGUUUUAAGGGAUAAGCGUGCGGCCAGUAGAACGUCGGCAAUUGCCCUGGCGUCUUCUACCGCACGAUUAUCAGCCUUCCCUUAACAGGGCGGGCAACCUUUUCAAAAUACCGGUUUGAUGUUAAAGUAUAGAGUCGUUUUUUUUGGAUGGUG
rnacentral:rRNA from 1 species